GUUCUCUUAAUGGUCAUCAUUGGUCUGGUUGUUUCAAUCACGAAACUUCAGAAAGCUGCCAAUGAAGAACAGAAUCCACAACAGCCUGAGAACCGGGCCUCUGAAGAGCUGAACUACGCAGCUGUGGCUUUCCGUCCAAAAACAAGAAAAACAAGAGAAGUGGAGCCCAAUGUUGUGUAUGCUUCUACUAGAUAGACUCAGGAUGAAACCAGAGAAGAGGUUCAGAAUAAAACUGAUGUUUUAUCAUAUUCAUCUGCAGAUUGUGGACAGGAGAACUGACCAUCACUUUGUCAAAAGAAGGACAAAAGAUGUGCAACCUUCUUCCUAGUGCAGAGUUUGAAUUUUAAUCUCUUUUAUAGAUGUAAUUAGUGUACAUCAAUACAGAAAGAAGAUUUUGUAAAUGCAGACUUGACAGCAGUGUGUCUAUGCUGGUAGGGGAAUACAAUUCAAGAGGUACAGCAGCAAUCAGUUUUACAUUUGACUUAAAAAAAAUAAACUACUCUUUUCUUUUUUCUUUUCUUUCACUACUUGUCUCUGUUAAACUCUGACACUGUUUCAUCGGUAGUUCCACUUCCCCAUCCUUGUACUUUGAUUAUUAUCGGAUCUGAUUAUC